rnacentral:rRNA from 1 species
UGAGUUUGAUCCUGGCUCAGGAUGAACGCUAGCGGCAGGCUUAAUACAUGCAAGUCGAGGGGCAGCAGCUUUAUAGCAAUAUAGAGGCUGGCGACCGGCAAACGGGUGCGGAACACGUACACAACCUUCCUUGAAUAGGGGGAUAGCCCAUAGAAAUGUGGAUUAAUACCCCGUAAUAUAGCGGUGUGGCAUCACACUGUUAUUAUAGUUUCGGCGAUUCGAGAUGGGUGUGCGGCUGAUUAGGUAGUUGGCGGGGUAAAGGCCCACCAAGCCUUCGAUCAGUAGCUGAUGUGAGAGCAUGAUCAGCCACACGGGCACUGAGACACGGGCCCGACUCCUACGGGAGGCAGCAGUAAGGAAUAUUGGUCAAUGGACGCAAGUCUGAACCAGCCAUGCCGCGUGAAGGAUGAAGGUCCUCUGGAUUGUAAACUUCUUUUAUGGGGGGCGAAAAAAGGUCUUUCUAGAUCACUUGACAGUACCCUAUGAAUAAGCACCGGCUAACUCCGUGCCAGCAGCCGCGGUAAUACGGAGGGUGCAAGCGUUAUCCGGAUUCACUGGGUUUAAAGGGUGCGUAGGCGGGUAGGUAAGUCAGAGGUGAAAUCCUGGAGCUUAACUCCAGAACUGCCUUUGAUACUAUCUAUCUUGAAUAUGGUGGAGGUAASCGGAAUAUGUCUUGWAGCGGUGAAAUGCUUAU